AUCUUCUCAGGCCAAAUGGCAAUACUUAAGAGCUGGAUAACUUUCAAAUUUGUAGGUGCUGGAAGAUACUAAGUAUGUUGGCUUAGUUGAAAUUCUUCAGCUUCUUCAAUUGUCAGAACUAAAUGCUAUUCUGAGAAGGAGCUCUGAUGUCCCCAUGGUAACCAGGGCUCCAUUAAAGGCAUGGCGUCACAAAGCUGUCCUUGUUUGAAGACACUUGGGAAUUUCAGGAUUCUUGACAGUGGUGGCACACAAUGCUCUGGGCAGGAGACUCUGUUUCCACCAACCUAGGCCAUGCACAAAUCUCAUGCCUCAAACGUCUCCAGAGGUCAAAAAUCAGAUACUAGAGUCAGUGAACCAGUGUAUCAUCUUGCUUUUCUCCUAAAAGAGAGAAUUCUACCAACUUCCUUAAGAAGUAAAAGCAACAAUAUAAAAAUAUUAUGGCGUGCUUCAAAGUUUGACUGAAGAGUCUCAUGAGGCCAACACAG
rnacentral:lncRNA from 1 species